UCAUUAGUCUUUUAAUUGAAGGCUUGUAUGAAUGGUUGGACGAGGAAUAAACUGUUUCAAUUAUAUAAAUUGAAUUUAACUUUUAAGUGAAAAGGCUUAAAUUUUCUAAAAAGACGAUAAGACCCUAUAAAUCUUUACAUUAAAAUUUACAGUUAUUUAAUUUGUAAGUUCAAAAGAAAAUGUUAAUUUAAUGUUAUGUUGGGGAGACAAAAAUAUAAUAAAAAUAACUAUUUUUUUUAUAAACAAAAAUUAUUGAAUUAAAGAUCCUUUUUAAAGAUUAAAAAAUUAAGUUACUUUAGGGAUAACAGCGUUAUUCUUUUUGAGAGUUCCCAUCGAAAAAAGAGUUUGCGACCUCGAUGUUGAAUUAAAAUUUCUUUAUGGUGCAGCAGCUAUAGAAGAAAGUCUGUUCGACUUUUAAAAUUUU
rnacentral:rRNA from 1 species